rnacentral:rRNA from 1 species
UAAAACUCAAAUGAAUUGACGGGGGCCCGCACAAGCGGUGGAGCAUGUGGUUUAAUUCGAUGCAACGCGAAGAACCUUACCUGGUCUUGACAUCCACGGAAGUUUUCAGAGAUGAGAAUGUGCCUUCGGGAACCGUGAGACAGGUGCUGCAUGGCUGUCGUCAGCUCGUGUUGUGAAAUGUUGGGUUAAGUCCCGCAACGAGCGCAACCCUUAUCCUUUGUUGCCAGCGGUCCGGCCGGGAACUCAAAGGAGACUGCCAGUGAUAAACUGGAGGAAGGUGGGGAUGACGUCAAGUCAUCAUGGCCCUUACGACCAGGGCUACACACGUGCUACAAUGGCGCAUACAAAGAGAAGCGACCUCGCGAGAGCAAGCGGACCUCAUAAAGUGCGUCGUAGUCCGGAUUGGAGUCUGCAACUCGACUCCAUGAAGUCGGAAUCGCUAGUAAUCGUGGAUCAGAAUGCCACGGUGAAUACGUUCCCGGGCCUUGUACACACCGCCCGUCACACCAUGGGAGUGGGUUGCAAAAGAAGUAGGUAGCUUAACCUUCGGGAGGGCGCUUACCACUUUGUGAUUCAUGACUGGGGUGAAGUCGUAACAAGGUAAAUCUCUGGAAGAUCCGCGGCGUACCGA